rnacentral:snRNA from 1 species
AUCGCUUCUCGGCCUUUUGGCUAAGAUCAAGUGUAAAUGUCUUAGGAAUCAAGAUAUCUGUAUUCGGGUCUUGGCCCUGACAUAAACUAUGAGGUAUUGGGUCAUAUGAAUCCUCCCAGUAUUAUCUACAAAUA